UACGUAGGGUGCAAGCGUUAAUCGGAAUUACUGGGCGUAAAGCGUGCGCAGGCGGUGAUGUAAGACAGGUGUGAAAUCCCCGGGCUUAACCUGGGACUGACAUUUGUGACUGCAUCGCUGGAGUGCGGCAGAGGGGGAUGGAAUUCCGCGUGUAGCAGUGAAAUGCGUAGAUAUCAGGAAGAACACCCGUGGCGAAGGCGGUUCGUCUGGGACGGUACUGACGCUGAGACGCGAAAGCGUGGGGAGCGAACAGG
rnacentral:rRNA from 1 species